GAGAGAACACUUCAUGACAGCCAGAAGCUCAACAUGCAGGCAAUUGGUUUUGGUUAUGUUUGAUGUUAAGUUGAAAAAUGUAAAAAAAAAUAGUUUAAGCACAGCCGGUGAGAAAUUUGCGAACAAAAUCUUAAUUCCGUUGUAUAAAGAUAACCCUACCAAGAUGAAGGUAAUAAUAAGCGUUCCAGAUUUUACUUUGAAAGAUUUCAUUGUUGCGGUUUUGAGUCAACUGAAAGCAACUGGGAAUCCAGACAUCAUUCAAAAGAUUGGCUUCGACAUCAGCUGGGAAUCGAAGUUAACUGAAUCAGGUGAGAAAGAGAAAGCAUUGAGGGAUCUUGGCGUUUCCCCAUAUCACGCUUGGCUUAGCAGUGGAAUAACAAACUGGAGUCCGAAAAAGUACUUGGACGAACUGUCAAGUCAGGUGAAAUAUCGAGAUAACGGAAACUAUUUCAGCAAAGUGUAUGCAUGGUCAGUUGACAAAAAAUCAACAGCGAAGACGUAUCUUGAAAUGGGUUUGGAAGGUAUUAUUAUGAAUUUUCCUGGUAGAAUGAACGAAGCAAUUGCCGAGAUUAACAAAAAGAAGGGACAAACCAUGCGGUUGGCAACAUUGGACGAUGAUCCGUUUGAGUUGAUUAAGUAAUUUGACAUUUUUAAAACUUAAGCGGCAUCCUUUUAAACUUUUAACAAAUUGACGUGGACUAUAAAACACGUUUAUCUGCUAACUUUUGACAUAAUUGUACUGACUCAAUUACCUUUAUUCUAUUAAUUGUAGCUAUAUGUUUCCGUAAACUAGACCAAGAAAAGCUAAGAAUGUGUG
rnacentral:lncRNA from 1 species